rnacentral:rRNA from 1 species
CCUACGGGUGGCAGCAGUGGGGAAUAUUGGGCAAUGGGCGCAAGCCUGACCCAGCAACGCCGCGUGAAGGAAGAAGGCUUUCGGGUUGUAAACUUCUUUUCUCAGGGACGAAGAUAGUGACGGUACCUCAGGACUACGCCACGGCUAACUACGUGCCAGCAGCCGCGGUACUACGUAGGUGGCAAGCGUUUUCCGGAUUUAUUGGGUGUAAAGGGCGAGUAGGCGGGAAAGCAAGGCAGAUGUGAAAACUCAGGGCUCAACCCCGAGCCUGCAUUUGAAACUGUUGUUCUGGAGUGCUGGAGAGGCAAUCGGAAUUCCGGGUGUAGCGGUGAAAUGCGUAGAUAUACGGAGGAACACCAGUGGCGAAGGCGGAUUGCUGGACAGUAACUGACGCUGAGGCGCGAAAGCGUGGGGAGCAAACAGGAUUAGAUACCCCUGUAGUC